GACGAACCGUGCGAACGUUGUUCGGAUUCACUGGGCUUAAAGGGCGCGUAGGCGGGUCAACAAGUCUGUGGUGAAAGCCCCCGGCUCAACCGGGGAACAGCCGUGGAUACUGUUGGUCUGGAGGGAGGUAGGGGCAUGCGGAACUUCCGGUGGAGCGGUGAAAUGCGUAGAGAUCGGAAGGAACGCCGGUGGCGAAAGCGGCGUGCUGGACCUCUUCUGACGCUGAGGCGCGAAAGCCAGGGGAGCAAACGGG
rnacentral:rRNA from 1 species